CAGUAGCCGCGGGAAUACGGAGGGGGCUAGCGUUGUUCGGAAUUACUGGGCGUAAAGCGUACGUAGGCGGCUUUGUAAGUUAGAGGUGAAAGCCUGGUGCUCAACACCAGAACUGCCUUUAAGACUGCAUCGCUUGAACGUCGGAGAGGUGAGUGGAAUUCCGAGUGUAGAGGUGAAACUCGUAGAUAUUCGGAAGAACACCAGUGGCGAAGGCGGCUCACUGGACGACUGUUGACGCUGAGGUACGAAAGCGUGGGGAGCAAACAGGAUUAGAUACCCGGGUAGUCCCUGUCUCUUAUAC
rnacentral:rRNA from 1 species